UUAUCAUAGAACCACAACAUAUAGACUUCAUAAUUCAUAAAGGUCCUGUUACCUGAUAUUAUCAUAGAAACACAACAUAUAGACUUCAUAAAGUUCCUGUUACCUGGCUGAUAUUAUCAUAGAAACUCAACAUAUAGACUUCAUAAUUCAUAAAGGUCCUGUUAACUGAUAUUAUCAUAGAAACACAACAUAUAGACUUCAUAAUUCAUAAAGGUCCUGUUACCUGACUGAUAUUAUCAUAGAAACACAACAUAUAGACUUCAUAAUUCAUAAAGGUCCUGUUACCUGACUGAUAUUAUCAUAGAAACACAACAUAUAGACUUCAUAAUUCAUAAAGGUCCUGUUUAACUGAUAUUAUCAUAGAAACACAACAUAUAGACUUCAUAAUUCAUAAAGGUCCUGUUACCUGACUGAUAUUAUCAUAGAAACACAACAUAUAGACUUCAUAAUUCAUUAAGGUCCUGUUACCUGACUGAUAUUAUCAUAGAAACACAACAUAUAGACUUCAUAAUUCAUAAAGGUCCUGAUAUUAUCAUAGAACCACAACAUAUAGACUUCAUAAUUCAUAAAGGUCCUGUUACCUGACUGAUAUUAUCAUAGAAACACAACAUGUAGACUUCAUAAUUCAUAAAGGUCCUGUUACCUGACUGAUAUUAUCUCAUAGAACCAAAAGGUACAAGACCUCCUCAGCCUGUGUUAA